GGAAAGGUGACCGAGUGGCUUAAGGUGCUCGCCUGCUAAGCGAGUGUGGGGUGUAAAGCUCCACCGAGGGUUCGAAUCCCUCCCUUUCCGCCA
rnacentral:tRNA from 1 species